UACGGAGGGUGCAAGCGUUGUUCGGAUUUACUGGGCUUAAAGGGUGUGUAGGCGGGUCGACAAGUGUCUGGUGAAAUCCCCGGGCUCAACCCGGGAACGGCUGGGCAUACUGACGAUCUUGAGGCAAGUAGAGGUCACUGGAACAACUGGUGGAGCGGUGAAAUGCGUAGAUAUCAGUUGGAACGCCGGAGGCGAAAGCGGGUGACUGGGCUUGUCCUGACGCUGAAACACGAAAGCGUGGGGAGCAAAC
rnacentral:rRNA from 1 species